CCUACGGGUGGCAGCAGUGGGGAAUAUUGGGCAAUGGAGGAAACUCUGACCCAGCAACGCCGCGUGAAUGAUGAAGGUCUUCGGAUUGUAAAGUUCUUUUCUCAGGGAAGAAGAAACUGACGGUACCUUAGGAAUAAGUCUCGGCUAACUACGUGCCAGCAGCCGCGGUAAUACGGAGGAGGCAAGCGUUAUCCGGAAGGACUGGGCGUAAAGAGUGCGUAGGUGGUUUGACAAGUUGGCAGCGUAACUCCCGGGCUCAACCUCGGCACUACUACCAAAACUGUCGGACUUGAGUGCAGAAGGGGCAAAUGGAAUUCCAAGUGUAGCGGUGGAAUGCGUAGAGAUUUGGAGGAACACCAGUGGCGAAGGCGAUUUGCUGGACUGUAACUGACACUGAGGCGCGAAAGCGUGGGGAGCAAACAGGAUUAGAUACCCUAGUAGUC
rnacentral:rRNA from 1 species